CCCUAGGAGCGGAUCGAGGCAUAGCUGUAUGACCAGGCGCAAUUGAGCACCGGCAAUCAGUGAGAAACAGUGGGAGACGAGCUCGCCGAGACAACAGAGAAGUCCGACUCCGAGACGGCGGCGACCGACGCCGGAGAUUUACAGCUUGACGCGGCCGAGCACCACGACGAGCGAUGGUCGAUGAGCCAGUGGCCGUAAAAAUAAACUGGAGCAGGGAGCUCGGGAACGCAGACACAUGGGUACGCGGCGGAACUCGACCGAGUGCGCAGGAACACGGCUGGGAAAUUUCCAAACAGAGGACAGCAGCGCGUGAGGAAGAACUGAGCGCACAGGGGAGCUCGACGGCGAGUUUGGAGACUGGGCAAACAGAAGAAGAAAAGGGAGCAGCGAGGGCACGGCGAGCUGCAGCUGGGCACGACGAGCAGCACAGCAAGGGAAAGGGGCGAGCUGCCGCAGGGAAGCCGCGCGCCGGAAGCUCCACGGCUGGGCAUGGCGGCCAUGGGCAGGGAACUCGUGGAAGAGGGAGCAGCGGCGUGCAGAAGCUCGGCGCGCAGGGGAUCCGAGCUGAAGCUGAGCACGCGCCAUGGGGAACUCGCCGGCAGGGCAGAGAGAGCUGGAGGCGCGGCUUGCUGGGAGAUGGAGAGAAGAAACGAGCUCGGCUGGCUGGGGUUGGGGCUCGGCAAGGGAGCCGCCAUGGGAGCAGGCAAUGGGCGAGCAGGACGCGCCACGGGAGAGCUAGAAGGAG
rnacentral:misc_RNA from 1 species